CCCUUAGAUGUUCUGGGCCGCACGCGCGCUACACUGAUGCGUUCAACAAGUUUCCUUGGCCGAGAGGCCUGGGCAAUCUUCUUAAUAUGUAUCGUGAUAGGGAUAGAUUAUUGCAAUUAUUAAUCUUGAACGAGGAAUUCCUAGUAAACGCAGAUCAUCAAUCUGCAUUGAUUACGUCCCUGCCCUUUGUACACACCGCCCGUCGCACCUACCGAUUGGAUGUUCCGGUGAAGCCUCGGGAUGAGGACUGGUGUCUUUAUUGGCAUGAGUUGUUCAGAACUUGUCUAAACCUUAUCAUCUAGAGGAAGGUGAAGUCGUAACA
rnacentral:rRNA from 1 species